GUAUCAAUUAAAAUUUACAAGAUUUCCUAUUUUUAUUACAUUCCCCAAUUCCCAAAUCCCAAACUUCAAAUUUUCAGAAACCCAAUACCCAUUUCCGCCUUGCACCACCACGCAUCUCCACCACCACGUUCCAAACCCUAGCUCACUACCACCACCACCAAUCACCAGUCACCAAACGAUUAAAACCUGACAACAAGAAGUCGAGCUAUCUGGAAGUCGCACAUCACAGCCAAAGAAUCAAACAGCAUCCGGAAGUCAGACAUAUCGCAGCAAUAGUCUUCCUUCGGCUCCAGCAGCAGUCGUCUUGGUUCGGUAGUCGCAGCGCGGGUGUUGAUCUGACAGUCGCAGCGGUGGUCUUGGUCCGGCUCUGCUAUCUUGGUUAGGCAACUCAAGUGGAUAGCCUUUACCCACCCUAUUUGUGAAGAUGCGGACAAAAAUGCUAUUUUCUAGCCUAAAUUUCUAGAAAGUUGAGGUGAUUUCGAGCUGGAUCUUGAGCGAGAAAAUCAAGUGAAAAUGUAGCUGAUUUCGAGCUUCUCGUGAGUCAGAGUAUCAAGCAAAAGUCGAGCUGCUCAUGAACCAAAAACCGAGUUAAACUCGCGAGCAAAAACGAGUUGAGUUCGAACUUUCCUCUUCCUAAAUCGAGUCAAAUUCGAGCUUCAUUUUUUUAGCUCGAUGAGCUCGAGUUUGAAUUCGAACUCACACAUUAACAAGUCCAACUCAGUCCGAGAAGUUUAGAACUUGACUUGUUUGCAGCCCCAAGUUUAAACUGAGAAAAUAUUUGAUAGAAGGUAAUAUUUCCAUGUGACUGAAUAGACUCCAGUGAUGUAAUUUAAUCAGUUCUAUGAUGGAUUCUCACAAUGACAGCCGCAGCCUGCCUUGAACAA